CGAUUCCCACAGACGGCGCUGAUUAUAUUUCUUUUUAUUUUAUGCUGCUUCAGAUGCACGCAGAGUCUCUCCUCCAUUUCCAUCAUCAUCGUUCUUCUUCUUCUUCCAUGGCCUCCUUCGUAACCCUAAACAGACCGUCUUCCAAUCUUCACUCUCUAUCAUCCUUUUGUUUCAUUACAUCGCCGCUUCCCUCUUCUUCCACUCACCAGUGGCAACUGAAGCGGCGAUUCGAGAAACGAAAAUUGUUGAGGCUGUGCGCUAGCUAUGAGGUCGAUGGAGGUUUCUCAGAUACAAGUGGAGGAAGGAAAGAAGCAGAGGAAACUAAAUGGAACGCUUCUCAGUAUGAAGCUCUCCUCAAAGGAGGUGAACAGGUCACCUCUGUUCUUGAAGAGAUUGCCAAGCUUUUGGAAGAUAUGAACAUGGAUGAAGGAUCUGAGAAGUUGGCAGUGGAGUUGGCUGCACAAGGAGUUAUUGGGAAGAGAGUUGAUCAGAUGGAGUCAGGGUUUAUGAUGGCCCUAGAUUACAUGAUCCAACUUGCUGAGAAGGACCAAGAUGACAAAGUACUAAUUUCAACCUUUUGUUUCACUUUCUCAUACUUUGGAGGGCCAUCAAUUGUUGAUUCCCUGCAGCGCAAGUCAAUCCUGGAGGUGAUCAAGGAGACUGUUUUAUCCCACCUUACAAAAAAAUGCCCUCCACAUGUUCAAGUGAUUGGCCUUCUUUGUAGAACCCCUGAGAAAGAGAGCAGACAGGAAUUACUUCGACGUGUUGCUGCAGGUGGUGGUGCAUUUAAAAGUGAGAAUGGCACGAAAAUUCAUCUUCCAGGAGCAAAUUUAAAUGAAAUAGCCAACCAGGCUGAUGAUUUACUGGAGACAAUGGAAUCCCGACCUGUGGUCCCGGAUAGAAGGCUACUCGCAAGGCUUGUUUUGAUCAGAGAGGAAGCUAGGAAUAUGAUGGGAGGUGGAAUACUAGACGAGAGAAAUGACCGUGGUUUAAAUACGCUUCCUGAAUCAGAGGUCAACUUUUUAACUAAGCUUGUAGCUCUGAGGCCUGGGAAAACUGUGCAGGAGAUGAUAAAAAAUGUGAUGCAGGGAAAAGAUGAAGGUGCAGACAACUCCAGCAGUGAUGAGGAAAAUACUACUCAUGUUUCAAGUGGAAUUGCAGGCAGGGCUAGUGUUACAGGGUAUAAACCAUUACCUGUGCGGCCUGGCAUGUUUCUUGAGACUGUCACUAAGGUCUUAGGAGGCAUAUAUUCGGGAAAUAUCUCUGGCAUCACAGCACAGCAUCUAGAAUGGGUUCAUCAAAAGACACUUCAAGUUCUUCAAGAGAUAGCAUUCUAGGUUUCCUACAGCAGGCAUCAAAUGAUGCAGUAUCUUGUACAUCCAAUUUUGAUUGCGAUUCAAGUGAAGAAGAUUAUUUAUAGCCAAAGUUUUGUGAAUAAGGGCUCAAUCUGAAAAGUGACUGCAAGGAGGUUCAAGCAUCAACACCAACUUUUGUCCACUAGCCAUGCUUGACCCUACCUUUUACCUUGUCUUUCUCAAAAAGAGAAUCAAGUCUCUCAGCUACCAUUGUGCUUCAAAUCCCGCUAUUAGGGUCUGUCUGUCGCAACUUAUUCUAAAUUGAAGGUGAUGAUCUGUAAGUCGAAUCUAAAAGUACCCUCCCUAGUGUUAAGAUAAUUGGAUUUUUACAACUUAUUAAGUUAUUUUUAAUGCAUAA